GAGGAGGAGGAGGAGGGGGACGAAGAGGAAGAGGAGGAUAUGAAGUGACAGGAGGCAGCUGGAAACAUUACAGUAGAAGACAAAAGUAGAGAGAAUGAAGGAGAUGAGUGAUGAGGUGAACUGCUUAGAGGGAUGCUGACACUGCUGUUCCAGCUAAGAGCACCACUUGGCUCGGAGGUGUUCGUGAUGAGGCAGUGGGUUAUAUCCAGGACUUGGAAGCCAAGCUGAAGGAGGUAGCCUUACCAUCCCCUGCCCUCUUCAGCCGAUAUUGUGCGUCCGACGACCAGAUACGAUUUUACACAAAAUUUCCAUCUGAACGUGUGUUUAAGAUCUUCUGGGAGUCCAUUGCACCAUCUGCUUCCUGAUUGGCCUACUGGAGCAAGGCAAAGAGGAUAGGUCAAUCAGACAUCACACCCAGCCCCUCUCGUAGGAUGCCAUUAAUCGAUGAGUUUCUAAUGUACUCUAUGCGAGUAGCGGUUGGGAUGAAAGAGCAGCUCAUUGCUGACAUGUUUGAGGUCAGUGUAGCCACCGUGAGUCGAGUCACCAUCACCUGGGCCAACUGUCUCUUCCUGAUGCUGGGGUCACUUUCUCUCUGGGUGCGCAUGGACAAGGUGAAGUCUGUCAUGCCAGCAAAAUUUAAGAUGCACUGUCCCAAUGUCUGUGUGAUACUGGACUGCACUGUAAUUGCUGUGGCGACUGCCUCUUCACUAACAUUGCAAUCAGAAAUGUUCUUCCACUACAAAAUCAGGACGACCUUGAAGGGACUGAUCGGAGUCGCUCCCAAUGGUUUGGUAACGUUUUUCUUGCUCCUGUACACUGGAAGCAUCUCUGACAAGGAGAUUACAAAGAUCAGUGGAAUCCUUCCCUUACUUGAGCCAGGUAACGAAGUGAUGGCUGACAAAGGCUUUCUCAUUGAAGAUCUACUUUCUAAUGUUGGAGCAAAACUCAUCAUUCCACCCUUCAAGCGUUCAGCUCAAUUUACAAGAGAGGAAACCGAGAAAACACAAGCCAUCGCCCGUCUCAGGAUAGUAGUUGAGUGGGUAAUAGGCAGAGUUAAGUCCAACCACAUCUGGGACUCAUCUGCACCUCUCACUCUGAUGGGCACUGUCAACCAGAUCUGGCACAACUGUUGUGUUAUUGUUAAUUUUCAAGGACCUUUGUCCUAUGAAGAAUAAGUUGCUGAGAGGAUCAACAGCCCCAGCAACCUACAAAAAUUAUACAUUUGAAUGUAUUUAUGAGCAUUUUUUCAAAGAUGUACAUGUUGUAUAUUUUUAUAUAUAAAUUUUGUGGUUCAGUGUAACAGAAAUGAGCAAUAAUCCAACAGAA